AUGAGCGACGCACAGCUUCCUCAUUCUCACCCACGACGCCCCCUUUCGCCAGCGGCCAAGAGGUCGCGGUUCGGAGACGCAACGCCUCUCCACGCGUCUCUGGCCAGUUCCUCCGGGAACACGGGGAGUGUGGUUGCGAUGACCCAGGACGCAGUGCCUUCUGGGCCUUCCGGCACGACUCCCCAUCGCUGCACCACUGCGGGUAUGUCGACUGUCCCUUUGGUGCCACUUGUACGGUAUCUGGGAGCGUGGCUUGCGCUGCCCAACCCGUCACGCUGGCUCAUCCGGACGGUUCGACUCGGCUAUGCGAUUCAGUUCGCCCGGCGACCCCCCCAAGUUCAAUGGCAUGCUCGAAACUUCGGUGGCAGUCCAGGACGCUCCUGUCUUGCGCGAGGAGAUUGCUGUCCUCCUGGCGAAGGAUGCAAUCGAGCCGGUCCCUCCAGCCGAGAUGAGGACGGGGCUUUACUGCCCUUACUUCAUCGUGCCCAAGAAAAGCGGUGGCCUUCGACCUAUCCUGGUUCUGCGAGUCUUGAAUCGGGCCCUACACAAGCUCCCGUUCAGGAUGUUGACGCAGAAACGCGUUAUCAAAUGCGUCCAGCCCCAGGACUGGUUUGCAGCGAUCGACCUGAAAGACGCGUACUUUCAUGUCUCUAUCCUCCCUCGUCACAGACCGUUCCUGCGCUUUGCUUCCGAGGGUCAGGCAUGGCAGUACAAGGUCCUCCCCUUCGGGCUCUCCCUGUCCCCCCGUGUCUUCACGAAGGUCGCGGAGGGCGCCCUUGCCCCACUUUGGGAAGUGGGCAUCAGGAUCCUCAACUAUCUCGACGACUGGCUCAUUAUGGCCCGGUCCCGAGAAGAGUUGUGCGAUCACAGGGACUUCGUGCUUCGGCACCUCAGUCAGUUGGGGCUUCAGGUCAACCGGGAGAAGAGCAAGCUCUCCCCUGUGCAGAGAAUCUCUUAUCUCGGUAUGGAGUUAGACUCGGUGAGUAUGAUGGCACGUCUCACCAGCGAGCGUGCCCACUCAGUGCUGAACUGCCUGAGUUCCUUCAGAGGCAGGAUAGUGGUACCGCUGAAACACUUUCAGAGGCUCCUGGGGCAUAUGGCAUCCGCAGCCGCAGUCACGCCGCUCGGGUUGCUUCAUAUGAGACCACUUCAGCACUAGUUACGCUCCCGAGUCCCGAGAUGGGCAUGGCGCCGCGGUACACAUCGUGUCACCAUCACACUGAUGUGUCGCCGCCUAUUCAGUCCUUGGUCGGACCUUGCUUUUCUACGGGCCGGCGUGCCCUUAGAACAAGUGUCCCGGCACGUUGUUGUCACAACAGAUGCCUCCAACUCGGGCUGGGGCGCGACAUGCAACGGGCAGGCAGCUUCAGGGUCCUGGACAGGACCUCGACUGCUGUGGCACAUCAACUGCCUGGAGUUGCUGGCAGUGCAUCUAGCUUUGCGACGGUUUCGUCCGCUAGUGCUGGACAAGCACGUGUUGGUCCGCACGGACAACACUGCGGCUGUUUCGUACAUCAACCGACAGGGCGGUUUACGAUCACGUCGCAUGUCUCAACUCGCCCGUCAUCUCCUCCUCUGGAGUCAGACGUGGCUCAAGUCGCUGCGUGCUGUCCACAUCCCGGGGGAGCUCAAUCGUGCAGCCAGCGUGCUCUCACGACAGCUCACUUUCCCCGGGGAAUGGCGACUCCAUCCCCAGACGGCCCAGCUGAUCUGGAGUCGAUUCGGGGAAGCCCAGGUAGACCUGUUUGCUUCCCACGAGUCCUCCCACUGCCAGCUGUACUAUUCCCUGUCCCAGGCCCCCCUGGGCACAGAUGCACUGGCACACAGCUGGCCUCUGGCUUUACGCAAGUAUGCGUUCCCCCAGUGAGCCUGCUCGCACAGACACUGUGCAAGGUCAGGGAGGACGAGGAACAGGUCCUGUUGGUUGCGCCUUACUGGCCCACCCGGACCUGGUUUUCGGAACUCAUGCUCCUCGUGACAGCCCCUCCCUGGCGCAUCCCCCGGAGGAGAGACCUUCUCUCUCAGGGGCCUGGCACCAUUUGGCACCCGCGCCCAGAUCUCUGGAACCUCCAUGUGUGGCUUCUAGACGGGACGCGGCAGACCUAA
ensembl:lncRNA